AACAGACUCCAGGCUCCAAACUGUCAGCACAGAGCCCGACACGGGGCUCGAACUCAUGGACUGUGAGAUCAUGACCUGAGCUGAAGUCGGAGCUUAAAUGACUGAGCCACCUAGGUGCCCCUCCUUUAAUCUUUAUGCCAUAGUUAAGUUGCAUUUAGGAAAGUCUUUAUUUCUCUUUCGUUUCUGAAAAACAAUUUUAGAGGGUACAGUAUUCUUGGUUGACUGUUUUUUUUCUUUAAGCACUCUGAUUAUUAUUCCACUCUCUCUUGGCCUGUACAGUUUCAGCUGUGAAAUUUGCUGAUAGCCUAAUCGAGGUUCCUAUAGCUUAAUAUCUAUUUUUCUCUUGCUGCUUUUAGAAUUCUCUCUCUGAUUUUGGUUUUUGACAGUUUCAUUGUAAUGUGUUUAGAGAAGACUGUUUGGAAUUGAAAUGGGGUGGUCUAUUAGAAAGAAAGGAAGGAAGAAAGCUCUUCAUUCAGCCAUCUGUAACCUUUAAUAAUGAGAUAAGUUUCUGGCAGCAGAGGAAAUGGGAAGGACUUCUUUCUCAUCAUUAAUCCUCUUCCUUUCCUAGCCAGUGAUCUCAGAGCUCCAGAGGAAAUGAAAAACAGUUCUUACUCUCAAAAAGGCAAGGUAUCCUUAGAUCAUCCAAUUACAUGGCACAAGACUGGAAUCAGAUAUCAUUAGAGAGAGUUUGCCAGCUGGGAAAAGAUACCAAUGACCCCAUAGCAUCAGUGACUACAGUGUGUUCUCAUAAAACUGGUGCUCUAAAAACGGCUACAUUUUACUGAGAGAAUUAACCACAAAUUGAGGCUAGUUUUUACAACGCCACAAGUGGGGCUGUAUUAAUUAUCUAUAAAGACGAUUCUGAAGUGGUUCUCUGCUCUCAAAUUCCAAAGGAAGCAAGUAAGGUACAGUAUGCAAUGUUCUCUGAGGCGGAUGGUCCAGUCUUCUCAAGUUUUAGAAGGUCUCACUGGGGACAGUCAGGAUCCUGAACUGUAUUAUGAUUUUACUCUUUAAAAGGCUCUGUGAAGCCCUCAGAGCAGAACAAGCUGGCGUAUCUCAGAGCACCAGAGCUAGAUCCAAAGUGCAUUGGCAUUUUUUCCCUAGCAAAACAAAACCAAACAUGAACAGUAUUUCCUCUAAAACUGAAAAACAAAGUCAACAAGGAGAAACAGGAUAAAAAGAAGGACAGUUUUGGAUUUUUGAAAGAAUUUGAUUCAGUACCUGGUGUGAAUUGAAUUUAUUUAACUGUCAUUCACAUUUAAAGGCCUAGGCCCAGGUCUAGAAGAGUUAUUGUAGCAUUCCAUGAAAGACUUUCCUUUGUUACCCACAUUUAGUUUAUGUGAUUGGUGCACUAGGAUUAUUUUUCCAGUCUGAAUGGAUAUAGAAGAUGUAUGGACCUGCAGUGUGUACAGAGCUGUUAGCAUCACUCAGAAAUAAGCUCCAGUCCCAUUGCAACCCAUAUACAUCUUGCAUAACAAAGGAUUUGGGGCUUAAGGUGGCAUUUCAACCUCAAACAGUGUUCAAUAUGACCAACUUUUACUGCAGUUGAAUUUAUUUGUCGUUCUAGGUGUUCAAAGCAUCUUAUUUAUUCUGAGGUACAGAAUCAGUUUUUAGGGUGGUAAUUAACUCUUUAAUAGAUGACAAAAUUGAUGUCUGAUAUUACAACAUGAACCCCUACAUCCAGCUAUAGCUGACUUGACUCUAUUGCAAGGAGCUCAGGCUUUGGAGUAGGUUCUGCUAUUUAUACACUUUGGCUUUGGGAGAAUCACUAGUGAGUCUUAAAAUUGAAUGUGCCUACAAAUCACCUGAGGUUUCUGUUCAAAGGCAGAUUCUGCUUCUGUAGGUCUAGUGUGAAGCCUGAAGUUCUGCAUUUCUAACGAGCUCCCAGAUGGUGAAGAUGUUGACAGUCACACUUUGAGUGUCAAAAACUAUUUGAACCUUAGUUUUCUCACCUGGAAAAAAAGGGGGGGGGAUGAAAAUAACUACUUGAGAAAAUUGUUAGGAACAUUAAAUGAGUCAGUGAGGUGAAGCAUCUGACACGUAGGAAGAUUACCACAAAUAUAAAUGUCCCACUCCUACUUUUCCCGUUUGUUCCUACCUAGCUCAGUAGGCAGGAACUCUGUUCAACUCUGUUUCCUCAGCUGCAGUUUUUAGUGGGUUUACUUCCAUAUUUAUGUCAUAGAAUUAAGUUCAUCGCAGAAAGACAUGUGUAAAUAAUUAAGAACCCACCCCGUCCUCUUUCCCCAAAUUAUGUGCCAUUCAACAUUACAUGGAAAAUCUUAUGCCCAAUGCGAAUGCUCAAAAUUGAAUUGCAAAGCACCUUGUUCAAAAUAGCUGUAAAACUUUGCUUAACCAUUAGCAAAACAUGAUUAUUUGGGAUCACAAAACAAUACUCAAUUAUAUUUUUGGAAGACACACUUCUAAAACAAUGUUUGAAAAUGGUUGGAAAUGAAAGAAUGGGCAAAAAUAUACCAGGAAACUCAAAUAUAAGCAAAGAGGGUUCUAAUCUUAAUAUCGAGUGAGCUAGAAUUCAACUCAUACAGUUCCAUAAAGUACAAGAGGAGGGAAUACUUCUCAACUCAUCAUCUGAGGCCAGUUUUACCCUGAUACCAAAACCAAACACAUCAGGAGAAUAAAAAAUAUAGGCCGAUCUCUUACGAAUGUAGCUGCAAAAAUCAUUUUCAACAAAAUACUAGCAAAUUUAAUCAACCUAUCAAAGAGUUUUACAUACCAGAUAUCAUUAUCCCAUGAACGCAAGGGUGGUUUAACAUUUCAAAAUUAAUUUGUGUGAUAUGCCGUAUUUUAAAAUUACAUGAUUGUUUCAAUAGGUGGAGAAAAGCAUUUGAUCAAGUCAGGUUCUGCUCAGGAUAAAAAUACUUAAACUAUAAAUACGAGGGUAGUCUCUCAAGCUGAUAAAGAGCAUCUAUGGGAACUUACAGCUAAUAUGCUUAAUGGUGAAGGUUGAGUGUUUUCCCUCAUAAGAUAAGGGACAAGACAAAGAUGUCAUUCUCACCACCUCAGUUCAGUAGUCUACUUGAGAUUCUUGCUAGGGGCAAUGUCUUCGUCCACUCAGGAUACAAUUACAGAAUACCAUAGACGGGUGGCUUGUAAACAACAAAUUUAUUUCCUGCUGGUAAGGAGGCUAAAUGCAAGAUCAAGGUGCCAGCAGUCUGGUGUCUGGGAAGGGGUCGCUUCCUGGUAGACAGUUUGUUUUCCCUGUGUUCUCACAUGGCAGAAGGGUCAAGGACCUAUCCUAGGCCUCUUUUAUAGAGGCACUAAUCUAACUCCUCCAUCCUCAUGACCUAUUUACCUCCCAAAGUUUCCACCUACUACCAUGACCUUGGAUGUUAGGACUUCAACAUAUGAAUUUUUGAGUGACGCAAAUAUUCACCCUAUAGCAAGCAAUUAGGCAAGAAAAAGAAAUAAAAGACAUCCAGACUAGAAAGGAAGAAGUAAAACUAUAUUUGCAAAUGUCAUGAUCUUGUGUAUAGAAAAACUGAAAGAACCCACUGAAGACCUAUUAGAGAUAAUAAACAACUUCAGCAAGGUUGUAGGAUAUAAGAGCAAUAUUAAAAAAUCAAUUGCAUUUCAAUACAUUAGCAAAAAACAAUCUGAGAAUGAAAUUCAAAAAUAAUUUCUUAUAUAAUAGCAUGAAAAAGAAUAAAAUAAGAAUAAUUUAAAUAGAAGUGGGUAAGACUUGUAUACUGAAAACCACAAAACGUUGAAAGAAAUGAAAGAUCUAAAUAAGCAGAGAGACAUCCUAUGUUCAUAGACUGGAAGACAAUACAGCAAGUUAAGAUGGCGGUACUCCCUAACUUUGAUCUGCCAAUUCAAUGCAGUCUCUGGCAAAAUCCCAGAAAUUGGCAAGCUGAUCCUAAAAUUCAUGUGGAAAUGCAAAGGAUCUAGAACAGCCAACACAUUCUUGAGAAGAACAACACAAUUAUAGGACUCACUUGCAGUUUCAAAGCUAUGUACUUUGCAGUUUGUACUGUGAGGUUACAAAGUGAUGAUAGUAUGGUACUGCCAUAAAGAUCAAAGGAAUGAAAUUUAGAGUCCAGAAGUAAACCCUAACUUUUAUAGUCCGUUGGCUUUUGAAUAAAGGGCGAAGAUGAUUUGAUGGAGGGAAAUAAUAGUCUUUCAACAAAUGGUAUUGCAUACAUUAGGUAUCCACAUGCAAAAGUAUGAUUUUGGAAUAUUAUUGGAAUAGUGGAAAUUUUAUUGCUAUAAUAAACUAAGCUCAAAUAUCAGCAUCAUGCAUUUUAGUCUUUCUGCAAAGGAGAUAAAACUAUCAUAUAUAGGGAUGAUAGUGAUGUUAUACUUUGAAAUUAUGAGAGAAUCAAUUGAAAAGCUUUGUCAAGCAAUAAGGGAAUUCAAAGAUAGUUACAUACAAAAUCACUAUAGGGAAAUCAGUGGCAAUCUCUCUAUCUGUACCAUUAUCUGUAUAUAUCAACCAGUUAGAAGAUAAGAUCUCACUUGGAAUAGCAAUCAAAAAGAUGAAAUACCUACGGAUUCAGCAAGACACAGAUGAAGAAAACUUUAGAAGUCAAUGAAAAAUACGAAAGAAGAUUUGAACAAAUGCAAACCUUUUGCAUGGUCUUAGAAAAACACUUCCAUAAAGCUGACAGUUUUCCCCAGGGUAAAUUGUACAUUUAACAUGAUCCCAAUAAAAAUGCCUGUACUUUC